GCGGCAGGCCUAACACAUGCAAGUCGAGCGGAAACGAGAAGUAGCUUGCUACUUCGGCGUCGAGCGGCGGACGGGUGAGUAAUGCCUAGGAAAUUGCCCUGAUGUGGGGGAUAACCAUUGGAAACGAUGGCUAAUACCGCAUAAUGCCUUCGGGCCAAAGAGGGGGACCUUCGGGCCUCUCGCGUCAGGAUAUGCCUAGGUGGGAUUAGCUAGUUGGUGAGGUAAUGGCUCACCAAGGCGACGAUCCCUAGCUGGUCUGAGAGGAUGAUCAGCCACACUGGAACUGAGACACGGUCCAGACUCCUACGGGAGGCAGCAGUGGGGAAUAUUGCACAAUGGGCGCAAGCCUGAUGCAGCCAUGCCGCGUGUAUGAAGAAGGCCUUCGGGUUGUAAAGUACUUUCAGCAGUGAGGAAGGGGUGUACGUUAAUAGC
rnacentral:rRNA from 2 species